GCCAGCUUUUCACCCAACCACUGCCACCAUUUUAAAUCCACAACAUUGAGAGACAUGAGAAAUCAUGCUCACAUUCCACCAGACCUGAAAAGCUUCAUAACUACUGUGCGUGCGUACGUGUAAAAACCAUGAUGCCCGUUUCACUUUCAGGAGGUUUUUGGAACCAUUUCAGUUUAAUGCAUGUUUUGAAUCGGCCCAUCUGCAGUGAAGGUCAUUUUAUAUUUUUACAGAUGUGUCGGAGGACCGGAUGGUUCGACAACAGUGGUUACUGGGGUAUUUGGGGACUUGAUGUCUUAAGCAAGAAAACCUGUCAGGUGCCACAUCCCGCCAUUGGUCCUUUACAAAUUUGGAAAACGCAAGAGACCGGGGUACCUAGGAAACGAAACGCUCAAAGAACAUCUUUGUUAAAGGAUUUUGCACAGAAGUGGAACAUUUUUACAAAGGACUUUUGCAAGCGACACUAACGGUCGAUGUGGUAUUGAAUUACACGACAGUUUGCAUAUGAUUUAGCCUCAAGCUUAGUCAUAUCUGUGAAUCCACAUACUAGAGUUGGUUACACAAUGAUGUAUUCUGCCCUUAGUACCUCAGCUGGUUUUGAAAUGUGCUACGUUUGGCGCAGCCUGAAAGGCGGCUUCUUUCAAAGUUUAUAUAAGGAGGGUGGAAUAAGAAUGUGCGUUCAACUACAUAUUUCGUGGAACAAAUUUUGACUGCUGACAUUUAUACAUUUUUAGUAAUGUUUGAGAGAAACAUUAUUCUAUUUAUGGACGUAUUUCUCUUGAGCUGGAUCCUAAUGGUCCCUUCUUUGAUACUGGUACUGAAAACCUAUGGUUAUAUUCUUAUGUUUAUGUUAGCCUAAUUCCUUCUGAAUUAGAUAGUUGUUGACACACUGAAGGUGGAUCCACAGAUCAAAUUUAAGUCUGUUAUAUUUGGUGCCCUCUUUAUUUCUAGUUCCAGUUCAGGACUAUCGUGUCAUCAAUCUAUUCAUAUCGUUGGGUAAAUCCAAUACUUUUUCCAGGUCUCUUUAAAUUAGGCCUACCGUAUUUUUUUAUGAAUUACUGAAAUUCAAUUCAAUUUAUAUUGACACUAGAUUUUUUCCAACCAGAGGAAAGGUAUAAAAUCCAAAGGAAUACAUUCAAGCUGAAUUAUUUAUUCCUUGGCCCCAUCUCUCUUAGCCUUAUUUCUUACCUAUAGUUUCUAGUUUUUUUUAUGAUGGGUUGGUGACAGACAAGCCGUUGAUGCACACUGCCCCAUAAAAAAAUGUCAAAUGUACUGUAAGCCAAAAUGUUUGGAUUCUGAGCAUGUGGUAUUUUAUGUAUUAUGAGGGAAAACUUGAGAAAACAGCUUCCACGGUAGCUUCAGAAUUGUUUUGAUCUAGUGCUGUAACUGUUAAUGAAGUACAAUUUCUUUUUUCAAUGAUUUAGAGAUUGCAGAAUUAACUAUCCCCACAACCGUCAUGGAAUUACUUAAAAGUUACACCUAGAGUCACUUAUAGUCAAACUGUAUUCAAAUGAUGUUCUUUUCUAAAUCUUAUUUAUCCCCUGCAAUUGAUAGUUUAUUUUAAUCAUUUUUGUUUUUGAUCCCCCCCUCUGUUUCCAUAAGUGGAAAUAAAUAAAGUAAAUAAUGCA